ensembl:miRNA MIR200A microRNA 200a
GGGCCUCUGUGGGCAUCUUACUGGACAGUGCUGGAUUUCUUGGCUCGACUCUAACACUGUCUGGUAACGAUGUUCAAGGUGACCCAC